rnacentral:rRNA from 1 species
GUUUGAUCCUGGCUCAGGAUGAACGCUAGCGGCAGGCUUAACACAUGCAAGUCGAGGGGUAUAGGUUUUCGGACCUAGAGACCGGCGCACGGGUGCGUAACGCGUAUGCAAUCUACCUUUUGCAGAGGGAUAGCCCAGAGAAAUUUGGAUUAAUACCUCAUAGUAUAUAUGAAUGGCAUCAUUUGUAUAUUAAAGUCACAACGGCAAAAGAUGAGCAUGCGUCCCAUUAGUUAGUUGGUAAGGUAACGGCUUACCAAGACUACGAUGGGUAGGGGUCCUGAGAGGGAGAUCCCCCACACUGGUACUGAGACACGGACCAGACUCCUACGGGAGGCAGCAGUGAGGAAUAUUGGACAAUGGGCGCAAGCCUGAUCCAGCCAUGCCGCGUGCAGGAUGACGGUCCUAUGGAUUGUAAACUGCUUUUGCACAGGAAGAAACAUCCCGACGUGUCGGGACUUGACGGUACUGUGAGAAUAAGGAUCGGCUAACUCCGUGCCAGCAGCCGCGGUAAUACGGAGGAUCCAAGCGUUAUCCGGAAUCAUUGGGUUUAAAGGGUCCGUAGGCGGUCUUAUAAGUCAGUGGUGAAAUCUCCCCGCUCAACGGGGAAACGGCCAUUGAUACUGUAGGACUUGAAUUAUUAGGAAGUAACUAGAAUAUGUAGUGUAGCGGUGAAAUGCUUAGAGAUUACAUGGAAUACCAAUUGCGAAGGCAGGUUACUACUAAUGGAUUGACGCUGAUGGACGAAAGCGUGGGUAGCGAACAGGAUUAGAUACCCUGGUAGUCCACGCCGUAAACGAUGGAUACUAGCUGUUGGGAGCAAUUUCAGUGGCUAAGCGAAAGUGAUAAGUAUCCCACCUGGGGAGUACGUUCGCAAGAAUGAAACUCAAAGGAAUUGACG